rnacentral:misc_RNA from 1 species
AUUUUUUCUUAAUCCAAUCAGCGUUAUUCACAAGCGCAACGAGAAUUGGAGGCACUAAUGGUAGAGAAGUUGCUUUGUAUUUGUGAAUCGAUGAGAGCAUUUCAUCCAUUUCGAAUUUUGAUAAUACAACAACAGUAGAUCCAGAUGCUAAUAACCCAGCUGCAAACGCUGCUAAUCCGUAAAUAUGAAACAUAGGUACAGUACAAAUGAAGGUUUGUACACCUUCAUCUAGAUUGAAUCGACUGACUAUAGUUUGAACCAUGGCGAUUAGGUUUUUGUGAGAUGAAAUAACUCCUUUGCUUGCUCCGGUAGUACCAGAUGAGUAAAGCAGAGUAGCUACGUCGUUUUGUGUAACUCUCUCUUUCAAUCUGCUUUCACUAGGUUUUCUCUGAAUCAAUUUCUGUAAAUCCCCAACGAUUUUGAGAUUCGAAUUUGAAUCAUUCACUCCGUCGAUUAAAA